AAAGUCGUAACAAGGUUUCCGUAGGUGAACCUGCGGAAGGAUCAUUAUCACGUAUCCACGUAUAAACCAAACCGCGAACUGUCUUGCCUCUCUUGUUUCUGCUUUUUGUGUCUUUUCUGGUUCUCUAGAAAAGAAACAAAAAAAAAGGGACUUGAGUUGUAGUUUCUUUUUUAUUAUUAACCAAUUGAACCUAAAUUUUUAUUUGUAAUUCUGAAUUGUUUCUUACUCUGCUUGCAAAAGCUGGAGAAGAAAUUCGUAGAUAUACGAAACUAAGUACAACUCUUAGCAACGGAUAUCUUGGUUCUC
rnacentral:misc_RNA from 1 species